AUUUAUAUAGUUUAAAUUAAAACAAUUUAUUUUCAUUAAAUUAAUAAUAAUUAUUUUAUUUAUAAAUU
rnacentral:tRNA from 1 species